rnacentral:misc_RNA from 1 species
GUAGGUGAACCUGCGGAAGGAUCAUUAACACGUUUAACAACAAUUCAAACCAAACCCUGUGCACUGAGGUGAGGCCUCUGCCAAUGUUUCUCAGUUUUGUGCCCGAUCUUGUUCUGCAAGAGAGGGAGAUGAUUCUGAGGGGCUUGUCAUGCUUCACCGCUUUUAAUUAACCGAUCUAACCUUUGCCCAAACUUGUAAGUUUGACCAAAGGCAUACCAUAUCUUUAAACCUUAUGUGCAGCUGUGUUCAA